CAGGGCUGUUAUAGGGGUCAAUCCAGGCCUGGUUUACUGGACAGUACAUUACUAAGGACUGAGUGGAAGGGCAAGAGGAAAAAGUACUAGUAGUGGGAGUGUAAAGACAACGGAGGAGACUGUAAUAACAGAAGGGUAGAGGUUGUAAUAGAAGACAACAGAGGAGAGGAAGAGGUAAUGUGGAGAGGUAAUACGGAGAGGGACAGGUAAUACGGAGAGGUGAGAGGUAAUAUGGAGAGGGAGAGGUAAUACGGAGAGGUAAUACGGAGAGGUGAGAGGUAAUACGGAGAGGGAGAGGUAAUACGGAGAGGUAAUACGGAGAGGGAGAGGUAAUACGGAGAGGGAGAGGUAAUACGGAGAGGGAGAGGUAAUACGGAGAGGUAAUACGGAGAGGGAGAGGUAAUACGGAGAGGGAGAGGUAAUACGGAGAGGGAGAGGUAAUACGGAGAGGGAGAGGUAAUACGGAGAGGGAGAGGUAAUACGGAGAGGUAAUACGGAGAGGGAGAGGUAAUACGGAGAGGGAGAGGUAAUACGGAGAGGGAGAGG
ensembl:lncRNA